rnacentral:lncRNA from 1 species
GUUCACCUUGCUCUCCUCUGAGGCACCCCACAGAAGCAGGGUGGGAGGCCAGUAUGAGAUGGGGCUGGGGGUCAAAUCGGCAGUGCUAAAUGGAUGUUGCCUCUGACACUGCCCGCUGCAACGGCUCCACUGAGAGUGAGGGAAGUGAAACUAAGGACAUGCCAUGCGAGUGAGUAAAGAAUCCAGAGCAUGACCUGACCCAGCCUUCAAACUCCAGAGUCCAUGCCCUGUCCUCUCACAGCAAGAUGGCUGGAAGGCAGUACAGGUUCUCUCCGACAUGUUCUACUUUUAAAGCACAAAUUUUACUCCCUGACUCAUUGACUCACCUGUUCCACUAACACUCACGGAAUGGCUGGUAUGUGGCAGGCAUGCACACAAAGCCUCAGCUUGAGUAGCUUGAGGAGAGACACACACAGACCUACUCUGCAGCUCAUGAGACGGCCGCAGGACCACAGACCGGCAAAGGCACAAGUUCAACAGAGCUUGGUGGGUGAGAGGCACUCGCUCAGCCUCUGGGUGAGUGAAAAGGACGAGCACCCAGUUCAGUGGAGGGAUGUCAGCAAAUGACUGGGUCUGUCUGUGCCUCAUACCUGUAAAAGGGUGACAAUAAUUGCCUGCUACUUCUUUAGAUCUUCCAAAUCUCCUAGACUCAGGAUGGAUGAACAAGUGGUUUUGCUUGGAAUUGCCCCCUCCUUGAUCCCUUCAUUAUACUGCAUUUGACCAAGCACUACAUCAACCCAAAUAACGGUACCUAUCCUAGAAGGCUGUCAGAAAACACUGAGUGAAUGGCUAAACGUGAGGCCUUUAAAACAGAGCCUGGCACAGAGAAGCUAGAAUAAGCAGUUGGUUCCGAUGACUACCACCUUUCUACAGAACUGCAGAGAGAAUGCUCUACAACAUGAGAGAGGCAUCUAGUCCUGCUUAGGGGCAUGACAGCAGACCUGAGUCUCCAUGAACCAGGUGAAAGGUGUCAUUCGGGGCUGGAGCUGAGGCAGGAGCAGCAAAAACUUCAGGUGCUGAAGCUAGAGAGAAAGCAGACCAAAUAUGCUCCAAAAGAA